rnacentral:rRNA from 1 species
CCUGCGGAGGGAUCAUUACCGAGUUUACAACUCCCAAACCCCUGUGAACAUACCUUAAUGUUGCCUCGGCGGAUCAGCCCGCGCCCCGUAAAACGGGACGGCCCGCCAGAGGACCCAAACUCUAAUGUUUCUUAUUGUAACUUCUGAGUAAAACAAACAAAUAAAUCAAAACUUUCAACAACGGAUCUCUUGGUUCUGGCAUCGAUGAAGAACGCAGCAAAAUGCGAUAAGUAAUGUGAAUUGCAGAAUUCAGUGAAUCAUCGAAUCUUUGAACGCACAUUGCGCCCGCUGGUAUUCCGGCGGGCAUGCCUGUUCGAGCGUCAUUUCAACCCUCAAGCCCCCGGGUUUGGUGUUGGGGAUCGGCUCUGCCCUUCUGGGCGGUGCCGCCCCCGAAAUACAUUGGCGGUCUCGCUGCAGCCUCCAUUGCGUAGUAGCUAACACCUCGCAACUGGAACGCGGCGCGGCCAUGCCGUAAAACCCCAACUUCUGAAUGUGAC